ensembl:snRNA U6 U6 spliceosomal RNA
GUGCUUGCUUCAGCGACACAUAGACUAAAAUUGGAGCGAUACAGAGAAGAUUAGCCUGGCCCCUGUGCAAGGAUGACCUGCAAGUUCGGGAAGCAUUCUAUAUUUUU